CUCUCUCCUCCGUUUUUAAAGGCGUAUUUUAUGCUGCCAGAGAGAGCGGCGCGACAGUGAGAGAGUGAGAGACGAUCCUAUCUGCCUCAAAGCCUUUCGCAAGGAUUCGCGAGGAAGCGCUAGCCGGGACUGAGCUGGACUGGACCGUGGCAUUCCUUGGAGGAGGAGGGAGAGCCGUGGAUAUGGAGGACGGUGGGACACGGCACCUCGGCCAUGAGUGCAGGGUGGACAUGAUGGAAGAGGAGGGGGAGCCGCUGACCGGAGGAGAUGGACUGACUGGAGCUGGUGUCAUCCUGAUUCCCAAGCUGCCCCAUGUGGAGUUCAGCCUGGAGUGCAGGGAUCUGAUUGGCUCUGGCAGAGACAGGACGCCCAAUGCUCUAGUCCAGGUUGCUGUCAUCGACCCCCGGGAACAAUACCUGGUCUCCCAAGCCUGCACAGAGAUAGUAGAGGGUAGCAGAGACCCGUUGUUCCUGACAGGGGUGACUUUCCCUCCGGAGUACCCUGCCAGCCCAGAGACGCUAGUCAAGCUCACCGUCUAUGAUGUGAGAGACAAGGCCCGCGACAAUAGCAGUUUCCUGGGCAGCGCUACGUUCUCCGUUAGCGACCUGCUGAGGUCAAAGGACGAUCAGCUGACCCUCAAUCUAAGGUCUUCUGAUGGUGUGCUGGCGGUGGGGACAGUGUUGGUGAGCCGUGUGAACAUGGGGGAGAUGGAGGAGGGGGACAUGGAUCACAUCACGGCCGACGUGCAGCAGGCCCAGAAGUGCACCUUAGUUUGUGAGUCAUCACAGGGAACCCCAAACGACAAAGAUAAUAGCCCCCUGACGGGUGCUGUCUUUAAGAACCCGGUUUGUAAGGUCUACAAGUUCCAGACGGUGGAUAGUAAAUGGAUGCUGGUGAGAGAGCAGAUGGAGGAAUGUACUCUGUCCUUCAGCAUCCCCAGACAGCUCCUCCACCUCUACAUCCAGGAAGACAUGAGGAGGAUACAGGAGCUGAGGGACCUUGGGGAACUGUCUCCCCACUGGGACAACCUGAGGAAGGAGGUGAUUGGCCGUUAUGGACAGGUGAUAGCUGCCUACCAGGAGACCCUGGCUGAGCUGAAUAAGAUCACUGGUACGACUUACUACAUGCACACAGGUCCGUCGUUCAAGCCGAGCUGCAGCAAGGCCCAGAGGUAUCUAGAGUUCAUCCCUAUCAACCUGCACACCCAGAGGAUGAGGGUGACGUGUCCUCGACAAACAGAUGCAUUCUAUGACGUGAUCACGGUGGGGGCCCCAGCGGCCCACUUCCAGGGCUUUAAGGGCGGAGGGCUGCAGCGACUACUGAGCAGACAUGAGGCAGAGAAGAAGAGUUUCAGCACAGCAUACCAGUGCAUCUACUACUCCCCGGAGCACACAGCCAAAGCCCAGGAGGUGUUGCACAGUGUGGGCCAUCUCCAACCUCUCAUCUCGGGCCUGGCAGACCAGCUGCUUCAGGCCGCCCAGCAGCACUCCAUGGCUGGGCUGAGGGAGGCACUCAAGACCCUGGCUGGAAAGACGGAGCAGUUUGUGCAUGCGCUCAAAGAUGAGCUGGUGAAGAGCGCCUUGCUGGCCCUCCACGCUGCACAGCCCGGCUAUGUUACAAAGAACCAGAACCAGACCCUGCCAGGCCACCAGGGUCACAGCCACCAGGACCACCCUAGUCCCAGCCAGAGGGGUCAACAAGGCCAGAUUCCACCCCAGAACCCAGGCCACAGUCCUGGGCAGCCAUCGGCUACAGACAGCCCUGUGGUGGUGUGUAAUAAUGUGGAUGGUGGCUCCCAGACGGCUCCCAUCAGAGAAGACGGGCAUGCUCCUCUGAAGUGCCAGGACUCCAUACCGUGUCAUAAGGAGUACGACGAGGAGGAAUGGGACAGGGUAUGGGCCGACGUGGCGAAGAGCCUCAACUGUGUCAUCGCCAUGGUGGACAAGCUCCAGGAGCAGGAACCAAUCAACAACAACCAGGAACAACCAAUCCCUAAGCAGGUCCUGGCUGACGUCAUCACCUCCCACAACCCCGAAGGGGAUUGGCGGGAGCAGCUCUGCCCUCUGGUGGUGAGGUUGAAGGAGUGCGUCGUGGAGGUGGUGGUGCGGGCCAGGAGGGCCAUGACCUUCGUCCUGCUGCAGGAGGCGGCCUGCAGCAUCCCCCAGGGACUGUUCCUCAAGCAGAGGAGGGAUGUGGUCUUCAGUCAGGCGCUAGCUGCGUUGGCGUGUGGUUUCGUCAUGAGGCUGUACGCAGGGAUGGAGGAUAAGGGCUUCCUCAGGCAGCUCCACCUAGUGGGCCUGGUGGCACAGUUUGAAAGCCUGCUAAGCACCUACAGUGAGGAGAUUGGCAUGCUGGAGGACAUGGAGGUGGGCAUCUCAGACCUGCACCGGGUGGCCUUCAAGAUCACCCAGGCCAAGACAGACGACCCCUGUGACCUGCAACCUGUAGUCAUCGGCAGGCGCGACCAUUAUACUGUAGAAGUGCCAUUACCACGGCUGGCCUUCCAGACGUUACCCCAUGAGAUCAAAGAGGGCAAGGCGUUGCAGGUUUACCCGGUGCUCUUCAACGUGGGAAUCAACGAACAGCAGACAAUAGCAGACAGAUUCGGAGACAUCUCUUUGCAAGAGAGGAUAAACCAGAGGAACUUUGAAAUUUUAGACAGUUAUUACAAAUCACUAAGCGAUAAGGUGCCAUCAGAAUGUCUGCCAUGUUUUCAAACGCAGACGGACUUGAAAGAUUUACUUGGAACCCUGGGCCAGAAUGUAGUGACGAAGAAGAGAAAGAAUGUGGAGAUACUGUGGCUCGCUGGAACGGUGAGGAUAGAAUAAGAUAUAUAACAAGUGGAUCUAUUCUUAUACGUCUGGCUUGACGUCAUUCAUGCAAACUAGUCAGCCUGCUAAUGUCCCUACGUAUGGAGGUUGGUACGUUGGUACCCUGAGGAGAAGUUUUGAACUUGUGAAUGCAAUGCACCUGCUACACUGAAGACUUCAUAAACAUAUUCGACAUCUGGCAGAAGACCAUGCAAGGCUCCAAAUAACCCUGAUGAUUUAGGGGAAAUCUCCCAGAGAAUGGGCAUCCGAUUACCUAAUCACAUAGAUCUGCCGACGGCUGAACGGGAUCAGGUUCACCAGCUGUAAAAGUGCCAAAGACAGGACGUCGAUGUCUGUAACCCUGGAGCAGUGUGCCCUGCUGAGAGACGAGCACCAGCUCAACAAGGAUUACUUCAUACGAGCCCUGGACUGCAUGCGGAGGGAGGGAUGUCGGAUUGAGAAUGUGCAAAAGAAUAUUAAAUGCCGGAAGUAUGCCUUCAACAUGCUGCAGCUGAUGGCAUUCCCCAAGAUCUACCGGCCGCCGGAGGGGACCUAUGGGAAGGUUGACUCCUGAACCCAACCUAUAUGUAGGAACUAAGAUGGCUACGUCCUGAUUCUCCACCCUCCACAGGGAGUGUGCAUGUGCACACUUUGGGAGAAGUGUAGGGAAACAGGACACAGCCGGUGUAAAAACAAACCAUAUGAUUCCUGACGUAAUCUAAUCCAAGCAGUAAAUAUAGUAGCAAUAUAAAUUGUCUAUAGCCAUGCGCUGCAGGUCCAGAUGUAAAAAAGAAAUGAAAGGUUGUAGGUGAUAUUGGCCAUGUUAUGUAACGUUGCUAGGACACACUGUUUUGUCUGAGUUAAGUUUGUCCGUAUUUCUUGUUCAGGUGUUCCUUUGUCAUUUUCUUCUUCGCUGAGUCAUCGUUUGUAAUAUCGGCGAAGCGUGUUGCUUGCCAAUUGAGCAUACUUUCUCAUGCUCUGUUUAUGAAAUGCCUUAUACUUUGUCAUGCUCUGUUUAUGAAAUGCCUUAAAGUCAACACAGUAACUCAUUUGCAUCAGAUGUGGCUUAAAGGAAGCCUUGAGAGGUUCUAUAAGUUCGAGAAAAAGCUGAACAGACUUUCAAGUUUAGCUUGUUGUUCAUGUUCCCUCAGCCUUCUACAUAAGAGACCUGUCUGUCCCUUAAGGAGCCUGAGAGAGCUUACUGUAAAUAUAAUUUAAUUCCAUGAAUAUGUUCUCUUAUUCUCAAUCAUGGUUGCUUUUACGACCACCUCAUAUUUUUUUGUUCAAUAACUCAAUCGUAAUGUGUCUCACAAAAUAUGUUGAAUUACUGCCAUAUCUAUCACAUGCUGUAUAUAACUUUACUUUUGUUUAAAAAUAUUGUUUUCCUUUAUUUUCCCUCCACAAUCAGUCAAUUGAAAACCAAACCAUAACCCCUUUGUAUCAUAUUUAUUUUUAUAUCCUUUUUAAUCCGUUUGUAUGCUUUAUUCAGGGUCAUUGUCUUGGAUUCAAAAGCAUCCAAAGCUCUUCCUGUAUGUAAAAUAACUUUGUUUGCGCUUUGCAAUGUGUUGCAUUCCUGUUUAUUUAAUUCAAAUACAUUUGAUUCAAUUGCUUGGGAUGGA